GACGAACGCUGGCGGCGUGCUUAACACAUGCAAGUCGAACGGAAAGGCCCUGCUUUUGUGGGGUGCUCGAGUGGCGAACGGGUGAGUAACACGUGAGUAACCUGCCCUUGACUUUGGGAUAACUUCAGGAAACUGGGGCUAAUACCGGAUAGGAGCUCCUGCUGCAUGGUGGGGGUUGGAAAGUUUCGGCGGUUGGGGAUGGACUCGCGGCUUAUCAGCUUGUUGGUGGGGUAGUGGCUUACCAAGGCUUUGACGGGUAGCCGGCCUGAGAGGGUGAACGGCCACAUGGGGACUGAGAUACGGACCAGACGCCUACGGGAGGCAGCAGUGGGGAAUAUUGCAGAAUGGGGGGAAGCCUGAUGCAGCAACGCCGCGUGCGGGAUGAUGGCCUUCGGGGUGUAAACAGCUUUCGCCUGUGACGAAGAGUGAGUGACGGUAAUGGGUAAAGAAGCACCGGCUAACUACGUG
rnacentral:rRNA from 1 species